rnacentral:rRNA from 1 species
UACGUAGGGGGCAAGCGUUGUCCGGAUUUAUUGGGCGUAAAGAGCGUGUAGGCGGCCAUACAGGUCCGUUGUGAAAACUCGAGGCUCAACCUCGAGACGUCGAUGGAAACCGUAUGGCUAGAGUCCGGAAGAGGAGACUGGAAUUUACGGUGUAGCGGUGAAAUGCGUAGAUAUCGUAAGGAAGACCAGUGGCGAAGGCGGGUCUCUGGACAGUUCCUGACGCUGAGGCACGAAGGUCAGGGGAGCAAACGGG